CAACACAUAAAAUAAACCUAUGAAGAAAAUAUUUUUCAUCUAGAUCUAUUGGCACUGUAAAUAAAAAACAGAACCAUUUGAUGUUCCACCAACUUUUCAUUCUCUGUCACAUGUAAAGGAAAAUAUCCACAGUUUCAGAUACUCUGUUGAUGGAAGGAACUGCACCUCUAUAAAAUGGCAACUCCUCAAGAGGAGGCACAAUGUAUGUCCUGGUUUAUUGAGACAGAAUCAGAUGUACAGACUCAAUGGAACUUCAGGACAAAGUAUGGAAGAGAUCCACCAUUGUGACCUUCAGUCCGUGCAUGGCACAAAAAAAUUAUGGAGACAGAGACAGUGUUGGAUAAAGGGAGGAGCGGGCAACCAAGAACAUUUGAGGAAAACAUCGAUUGCAUUUUAAACAUCUUCACUCGUUCACCUACAAAGUUCAUCCACACUGCUGCCAGACAGUUGCAACUACCAUGUUCAGCUGUGCAUAAGGUCCUCCACAAGAUCUUACAGUUGUACACUUACAGCCACUUGAGCCAAAAGACAAGCCAAAACGGACAGAGUUUGCGCUCAACAUGCUGGAAUGCCUUUCGGAGGACGAAGCAUUCCUCAAGCAAGUUUGUUUCAGUGACGAGGCAACUUUUCAUAUUUCUGGGACAUUAAACAGACACAAUGUGUGAACCUGGGGAUCUGAAAACCCCCAUAUGACAAGGGAGCUUCACCGGGAUAGUCCAUUUUUCUUCAACGAGUCAACAAUUACUGCAGAUGUUUACCUCGACCUUCUGACUGAAUAUGUGGCACCACAAUUGAUUGACUUACAACCAACUAUUAUUUUCCAACAAGAUGGUGCACCACCACAUUGGGGACUGCAUGUUUGUCGGUUCCUCAAUGAAACAUUUCUAGGCAGAUGGAUUGGGAGGGAUGGGCCAUUUCCUUGGCCACCACAUUCACCACAUGUCACUCCCUUGGACUUCUUUUUAUGGGAGAAUGUAAAAGAUAUCACAUAUCAAACACAGAUACAGGACAUUGCUGACUUGAAGCAAAGGAUUCGUAAUGCCAUUGCCACCAUUGAUGAUGCUAUGCUACAACGAACAUGGCAAGAAAUCGAGUACUGUCUUGAUGUGCUUCAUGCAACUAAAAAAAAACUUUUGCAAACACUGAUUACAAUAAAAGAAAUGUUGUUAAAAUAUUUCAACAACUGCCAUUGUAAUAAAAUUUUGAAGUUGUAGAGGGACUUUAUGAACACCCUGUAUAACAAUUAUUAUAUAAAUGGAAAAAAUGUAUUUGGCAAAGUUCCACACAGGUUCUAGAAAACUUAAUAAAUGUUUGUAAUCAUGAAUUUGCGGGGCCUGAGUUGUGCUUGGGUAGCUCAGAUGGUAGAGCACUUGCCCACGAAAGGCAAAGGUUCCAAGUUCGAGUCUCGGUCCAGCACACAGUUUUAAUCUGCCAGGAAGUUUCAUAUCAGUGCACACUCGGCAGAGUGAAAAUCUCAUUUUAUGAAUUAAACACUUUAUAAAUGAAAGUAAGUUCAGACACUGACAACCAGCUGGUAUCACAGGUUUCUUUAGUUGAAAGAAAUUUCAUCAGGUCUUGAUUUAUUACAAUUUGGAGCAAUCAGUGCCAGUUAGAUAUUUUGUUGACUUGUGUCACAAUUUUCCUCAAACUAAGAAGGGUAGAACAAAUGUUCACUGGUUGGGAGCAUGACAAGGCUACAGGAAACCUAAACUGCUUAACAGUUACAGAUAGAUGCAAACUUUCCUGUCAAAGUAUAGUUAUAAAGUUUCAAGAAACAACUGUAAUUGCGGAAUCUAGGAAUAUACUAAAACCUGUAAUGUAUUGCCCCAAUAAGGUCCACAAAAGCAAGGUAAUACUAGAUACGGAGCACAUGCAUUCCAUGUAAAAGGAAGAAGCCCUAAUUUCUGGUGCAAUAGGAAGUACUCUCGUCAUGUGCUGCUGGCUUGGAGAUGCAGCUGUCACUGUAAAUAGCAGUUUUAUUCCAACAUCACUUGAUGUUGAUAUUUGAGAAGCAAGGGGACCAUGCCGGCUCAGUCGAAUGUUUGGCUCUUUUAUUAGUCUGGUUUACUGGCAUCUCUGUAGCUGGUGUGAAUGUAGCGUAGUAUCUCUGGACAUACCUCUGCUGUGCUGAUGUGAAAAACAUCCUGUGUGCUCGCUGAGAGUUAAUGACAGCUGAGUCCUGGAGUACAACACUGCCCAUUGGUGAGAGCCGUACAUAGACAUGGAAUCUUGAGGUCAUUCGGGCCUGUCGUAUUUAAGGAGGGAACAUCUCAAGUGAGAGUUGAGAAUAUGGCACAUUCCUGUGGAAGGGGCCAUUGCUGAACUGUUGGCCAAAUUGCACACUUUGUUGGACAGGCCUCUUUACCUCUUGUUGU